UUCUGGUGCUUCUGACACAGCUGUCGGGGGACUCAGCAAACAGUCUGCAGUUUCUGGAGCUGCUCUGAGUCCUGUCAGGUUUCCAUCUGAGCAAUUUCCUCUUCCAGGCAUCCCAAUGCCUGUGGAUGGCCCAUCUGGGUGGCCAGCCCUGCUCUCCCUGCUUCUGGCCGUGGCGAUGCCUUUUUUCUGCUCAGCCAUAUCCAUAGAUGAAGCAUGGAACCAGCUGUUGAUGAGAGAGAAGAUGAUGCAGCUGGGGGGGCAGUUGGUGCUGACCGAACAGGAGGAGCUAGCCAAUGAGAGGCUCAUGGCCCUCAAAAAGGCUGAGGUGACACAGGCGAUGAGGACCCAGAAGUUCCCUCCCAGCAUGCACUUUUUCCAGGCCAAGACUCUCAUUGAGAAAAGUGAGGUGUUUAAUAUCCUGAAGAAGAUGCCAAAAGGGGCUGCCUUACACGUCCAUGACUUCAGCAUCCUGAGUAUGAACUGGCUGGUGAAAAAUGUCACGUACAGGCCCCACUGCCAUUUCUGUGUCACCCCAAGCGGGUACUUGAAGUUCAAAUUUGCUUAUCCAGCGCCCCCCACUCCUAAACCAGCAGAAUGUUCAAAGUGGGUUUUGCUGGAGAAAUAUCGAAAGGAGCUACAGAAUGUCACUGAGUUUGACAACAGACUUCUUCAGACUUUCACUCUGAUGACCGAGAACCCUGAGGUGGCUUAUGCAAACCAAGAUGCUGUCUGGUCCAAGUUUAAUAGUAUCUUCUUCACAAUCUCUGGCCUUGUCCACUAUGCACCAGUGUUCAGAGACUAUGUCUUCCAGGCACUGGAGGAGUUCUACCAGGACAAUGUACUCUACCUGGAGCUCAGAGCCAUGCUGUUCCCGGUGUAUGAACUGAAUGGGACUGUCCAUAGCCAAGAGUGGUCAGUGAAGACUUACAGAGAAGUGGCUUGUAUGUUUGCAGAAAAGCAUCCUGGAUUUAUUGGAAUGAAAAUCAUUUAUUCGGAUCACAGAGUCAAAAAUGUGUCCUUCAUCAUGAAAUCCAUCCAAACAGCCAUGACGCUCCGAACCAUGUUCCCCAGGAUGGUGGCAGGGUUUGACCUGGUGGGGCAUGAGGACACUGGCCACUCCUUGUAUGACUACAAGGAGGCUUUGAUGAUUCCCACCUUGCAUGGCGUUAAACUGCCUUACUUUUUCCAUGCUGGAGAGACAGACUGGCAGGGUACUUCCAUAGAUAGAAACCUUCUGGUUGCUCUAAUACUGAACUCUACCAGGAUUGGCCAUGGAUUUGCUUUGACCAAACACCCAGCAGUCUGGGCUGACUCCUGGAAGAAGGACAUCCCCAUAGAAGUCUGUCCCAUCUCCAACCAGGUUCUGAAACUGGUGUCUGACUUGAGAAACCAUCCUGCUGCUGUUCUGAUGGCCACUGGGUACCCCAUGGUGAUCAGUUCUGAUGACCCAGCAGUCUUUGGUGCCAAAGGCUUGUCCUAUGAUUUCUAUGAGGCCUUCAUGGGUAUUGGGGGAAUGGCAGCUGAUCUGAGGACACUCAAACAACUGGCCAUGAACUCUAUCAGAUUCAGCACCUUGAUGGAUAUUGAUAAAAAAGCUGCCAUGAAAACCUGGGAGGAGAGAUGGAAUAAGUUUGUAGCUGACCUGGCCGGGAGGCCAAAGUGAAUUGUCUGGGCUGGAAAAACCUAAUGUCCAGGGCACCAAGAGUCCCUGACUUGCCAGGCUUAUUGUACAAGUCCCCAUCAUCUGGCUUAUGAUGAAUGCCUUGGUCCAGCCCCCUCCUCCUGGGUCCUGGAGCUUUUCAUCAGUUGGCACAGCUCCCAGGAAGGACAGGGAGACUUCUGGAAAUUCAAACUGAGGGAAUGUUGUUGGAGAUGUGAAUCAUCUUAUUUCCCAACAGGGUCUCCAGGCAGAGCGCAGCUCCAGAGAAUCUCCACCAGCCCCCACCUCCACCGCUCCCCAGCUUGCAGACAGCUGUGGCCCUCGGAGACCCUCGUGACUGCCAUUUAGUGGGAAAUGGCCCGAGACAGAAGCAUGUGGAAAGCAAAUGGCGAUUAGUGUGAGACUGAGGAUAGCAGGAAAGACCUUUCCCGGCGGGAGCCUCGUCCCGUCACCUGUGGCUGGCGGCGGGGGGACUGCGGCAUGCUGCUGACCCCUGGUGGCCACUUGCGGUACCACAGAUGCCUCCAAGAUCUACGAGCACCGUUUGGUUCCCUUAUCCUCUGCUGUCGCCUCCUGUCACUGCUGGGAGUAACACUUCAUAUAAUAAGUUACAGUAAUAAUACUUUCUGAUUGUAAAACAUGCUUAUGGUAGCAAAUUUGUGAACUUUAAAAAGUAUAGAUGAAACAAAAAUCACCCAUACUUCCACUACUGUUACUAUUUUGGUCCAUUUCCUACCCACAGUAAAUAGUCCUCAGGAUCUCAUUCCAGCACCAUCUCCCCGCCCUACCCCCUCCCUGCUUCUGCCUUAUUACCUGCCACUACCUCACUCAUAUGCUUUGCUUUUGCUGCCUCAGCUCCCCUCCCAGGUAGAAAGGCCUGUUCUUGACUUUGGGACGUCCUACUCUGUUGCUCUGUACAAAUUUAGAGUACAUAGUACAAGAUGAGGGAAUAGUGCCAUAAUAAUUUUUAAAUUUUAUUAUAUUUAAAAUAAAAAAUUUUGAAUACGUAUGCAAUAUCAUUUCAAACAUUUUAAAAAUGUGAAAAGGAUAGAUUGGAAAGUCUUAAGCCUGUCCCAACUUCACCCCAUCCUCCUUCCCACCACACCCAUUUUUCCCACCAUACGUAUUAGUAUUAGUUUCUCAUGCUUCUUUAUGCAAAAUAAACAAAUGCAAAUAUGAA